GAUGAACGCUAGCGGCAGGCCUAACACAUGCAAGUCGAGGGGUAACUAGAGUGAUAGCAAUAUUACUUUGGCUAGACCGGCGCACGGGCGCGUAACACGUAUGCAACCUACCUUAUACUGGGGAAUAACUUCGAGAAAUCGGCGCUAAUACCCCAUAACAUUGCGAAGAGGCAUCUCUUUGCAAUUAAAGCUCCGGCGGUAUAAGAUGGGCAUGCGUCCAAUUAGCUAGUUGGUGAGGUAACGGCUCACCAAGGCUACGAUUGGUAGGGGUUCUGAGAGGAUGAUCCCCCACACUGGUACGGAGACACGGACCAGACUCCUACGGGAGGCAGCAGUGAGGAAUAUUGCGCAAUGGACGAAAGUCUGACGCAGCCAUGCCGCGUGCAGGAUGACGGCCCUAUGGGUUGUAAACUGCUUUUGUACGGGAAUAAACCCUUCUACGUGUAGGAGGCUGAAGGUACCGUAAGAAUAAGCACCGGCUAACUCCGUGCCAGCCGCCGCGGUAAAAC
rnacentral:rRNA from 1 species